rnacentral:rRNA from 1 species
ACCCGCUGAACUUAAGCAUAUCAAUAAGCGGAGGAAAAGAAACUAACAAGGAUUCCCCUAGUAACUGCGAGUGAAGAGGGAAAAGCUCAAAUUUAAAAUCUGGCAGCCUUUGGUUGUCCGAGUUGUAAAUUAGAGAAGCGCUACCCGCGUUGGCCUGUGCAAAAGUCUCUAGGAAUGGAGCAUCAUAGAGGGUGACAAUCCCGUCUUUGGCACAGACUACCAGGGCAUUGUGGUACGCUCUCAAAGAGUCGAGUUGUUUGGGAAUGCAGCUCUAAGUGGGUGGUAAAUUCCAUCUAAAGCUAAAUAUUGGCGAGAAACCGAUAGCGAACAAGUACCGUGAGGGAAAGAUGAAAAGAACUUUGAAAAGAGAGUUAAACAGUACGUGAAAUUGUUGAAAGGGAAACGCUUGGAGUCAGUCGUGUCUCGUGGAAAUCAACCUGACCUUGGUUGGGUGUACUUUCUGCUGGACAGGUCAGCAUCAAUUUUGAUCGUUGGAUAAAGACUUGAGGAAUGUGGCAACUUGUUUGUGUUAUAGCCUCUUGUUCAGAUACAAUGGUUGGGAUUGAGGAACUCAGUGUGACUUCGGUUUGGCCCUCGGGUACAUCCCACACUUAGGAUGCUGGCAUAAUGGCUUUAAUCGACCCGUCUUGAAACACGG